GCUCCCAUAGCUCAACGGCCAGAGCAACGCCCUGUCGAGGCGUAGGCUACCGGUUCGAAUCCGGUUGGGGGCG
rnacentral:tRNA from 1 species